GGGGGGGGGGGGCGGGGGGCCGGGGGGAGGCGGGGCGGGGGGGGAGGCGGGGAGCGGGCGCCGCGGGCGUGGGCGGCGGGCGGGUGAGUAACACGUGGAUAACCUACCUAUAAGACUGGGAUAACUUCGGGAAACCGGAGCGAAUACCGGAUAAUAUAUUGAACCGCAUGGUUCAAUAGUGAAAGACGGUUUUGCUGUCACUUAUAGAUGGAUCCGCGCCGCAUUAGCUAGUUGGUAAGGUACCGGCUUACCAAGGCAACGAUGCGUAGCCGACCUGAGAGGGUGAUCGGCCACACUGGAACUGAGACACGGUCCAGACUCCUACGGGAGGCAGCAGUAGGGAAUCUUCCGCAAUGGGCGAAAGCCUGACGGAGCAACGCCGCGUGAGUGAUGAAGGUCUUCGGAUCGUAAAACUCUGUUAUUAGGGAAGAACAAAUGUGUAAGUAACUAUGCACGUCUUGACGGUACCUAAUCAGAAAGCCACGGCUAACUACGUG
rnacentral:rRNA from 1 species